rnacentral:rRNA from 1 species
GAUGAACGCUAGCGGCAGGCUUAACACAUGCAAGUCGAGGGGUAUAGUUCUUCGGAAUUAGAGACCGGCGCACGGGUGCGUAACGCGUAUGCAAUCUACCUUUCACAGAGGGAUAGCCCCAGAGAAAUUUGGAUUAAUACCUCAUAGUAUAGCAGUUUCGCAUGAAACCACUAUUAAAGUCACAACGGUGAAAGAUGAGCAUGCGUCCCAUUAGCUAGUUGGUAAGGUAACGGCUUACCAAGGCAACGAUGGGUAGGGGUCCUGAGAGGGAGAUCCCCCACACUGGUACUGAGACACGGACCAGACUCCUACGGGAGGCAGCAGUGAGGAAUAUUGGACAAUGGGCGCAAGCCUGAUCCAGCCAUGCCGCGUGCAGGAAGACGGUCCUAUGGAUUGUAAACUGCUUUUAUACAGGAAGAAACACUCGGACGUGUCCGAACUUGACGGUACUGUAUGAAUAAGGAUCGGCUAACUCCGUGCCAGCAGCCGA